rnacentral:rRNA from 1 species
UACGAAGGUGUCGAACGUUGCCCGGAAUAACUGGGCGUAAAGGGCGCGUAGGCGGUCGGGUAAGUGGGAUGUGAAAGCUCUGGGCUCAACCCAGGAAUUGCAUUCCAUACUGCUCGACUUGAGUUCGGUAGAGGAGGGCGGAAUUCCAGGUGUAGCGGUGAAAUGCGUAGAUAUCUGGAGGAAUACCGGUGGCGAAGGCGGCAUCCUGGACCGACAUUGACGCUGAACGGCGAAAGCUAGGGGAGCAAACGGG